GCGCCUGUGGCCUAAUGGUUAAGGCAUUCCACUCUUGCUGCCAGAAACGGUGAUAGUAAUGGAAAGGUCCCCAGUUUGACUCUGCGGCAGGCGCA